UGGGACUUGUAACCGUCACUUCUGUCUUGAGAGGUUAAAAGAUAGAACAGUCUAGCCAAGUGUCAUGUCUCUUAUUCUUGAUCAGCUAUAGCUCUGGGGUUUUUGCAGAUUUUCAAAUAAAACUCAGAGAUUCCUUGUAUGACUCUCUCAUAUCUCUCUUUUGUGGUAUUUCUGGAUCCUUACCAAGGCAUUGAUGGUAUAUGCCUUCUCUCAAGAUAUGUGGUAUUUAUGGUAUAAGGCAUAGUGACAUUGCCUUCUCUCUCAUCCUACUCUAAUAAGGCUUGAUAUCUGGAGUUCAUAGGUGGGAGACAGCUAAUACAUACUUACAAGACAUUUAUUGCAUAGUCAAACCAUGGAUCCAGAGAAACAAGUCAAUAAGUCAAAUCAAGAUGUGCAUGUGUGGCGAAUGAAUGGUGUAUGGUGAUGAUGGUGAUAACAAUGGUGAAAGUCUAAUUCUACUUUUGCUCUUUUGAGGGGAUACAUACCUUUCUUGCACUUUGAAGCUUUUUGGGGAGAAUGAGAUGCUCUAUAUUUUCUUUUUCUUUCCUCUCAGGUGGGUAUCUUGUACCCCUAAUUCUACUGUCGGACACUUGUCCAUUUUUACCUCCUGUCACAUAUGCUACAAAGAAAGAUUGGUUAUCAGAAAACCUGACCUCAGCAAUGUUCCAGCUUAAACGGGACUGCAAACACAAAAAAAUAACAAUUAUGGAUAAAACUCACUAUGAAAGGAAUAGGGCUAAGAUUUAGGUAUUUAUUUGUCCAUGAUCCCCAACUCUCUGUGAAGAGUGCCUACAUCCACAGUUUGGUGUCUACAGAAUGAAAUGCUUUAUUGUUUACUCUUUUAUGACAAUCAGUGUCUUGUGAAAUACAGAAAAUAGUAACAGUUGUUGGAUAUUUCAAACGCAAACAGAAAAAUCCGCAAGCACACAGAUACCGAUGUAGCUUUCACCCGGGAGUAUUCCAGAGUAUCGAUUUUUCACAGGGAACGUGAGUGUACUAAUUAAGAUUCAAGAUCGCCCAAGGAUAACUAUAUAAUUAUUUUUUUGGUGGGAAGAGAGGAAGUUUCGUGAGAGUUCUCUAGUUGAUCUAAGAAUCAAGAAUUACUUCAAAGAUUAUUUUUUCGAGACAUCAGAACACUAACCACAGAAAGAGAUGGGAAGGGAGCUAGGAAGCUCUGACUACGGUCCGACAAACACCGAUCCGAACGAGGUGGAAUACGUCGACCGUUAGGGCUGUCACUACCCUAGGGCUACCACAACAAUCCGCAGAAUUGGGGUGCAAUUCCACGUAAUUGCAAGACUAAACACCACGUCUAAUCUAUUAAUUACUACUCUAGCGUUAUAAAGACUAGAGCACUUGAUGCAAGCGGGAAUCCAAUAAAUAACUUUGUAAAUAAAAGUAAUUAAAGAACUCAGGAAUUAUGAAUUGAAGCACUUGGAGAACGAUGAAGAACGAACCAGUUGCUGCAAAAGUACAAUGUUGAGGAAGAUCCGACAGACCCGGCUCCUCCUCUACUCUCCUCUUCUCUCUCCCUAUUUUCUAGAUUACAACUAGAACUAACUAGAACUAGAACUAGAGGAACUAGAGCUAGAACUAGAUGAACUAGAGGGAUCCUCUCUACUUGGAUGAAUAAUUGAAACCCUAGCUUUGAUUCUGUAGAAGAGGUAUGCUCUCCAGGGGCCAAGGGGCCUUGCUUAUAUAGUCUUUUCAGAUGAAUCUGGGCCGUCGGAUCAAACCGACAUCAAUCGCACGGUUUUCCUUGAUCCUUUAGGUCGGUGGAGCGUGAUCCGCGAGACGGGUCUGAGUUGGACACUAUAGGAGGGCGGGCGCCCUGGUCCUUAGGGCGGGCACCCUGGGCCAGGCCUCGUUCGGCCUCCGCUUCGUUCCCGUAGCUUCUGGAGUCUUCAAGAUGAUAGAAAAUUGCGCGGCACGUUAAUAUCUCUAUGUAAACCCGACGUGUGGGCCUUUCCUCCGUAUUUCCUGAUAACCCCCUACAGAAAUAGACAAACACCAAAACUCGUGGAAUUCUGUCAGAUAAAACCCUAACUCUAGGUGUUGGUUGCAUUUGGAUGCUUUUCCAUGAUUAGUUGAUGGUUAAAUGUGAGCAUUAAGGACCGUAAACAAGCUCCCCCAAGCUUAACCUUUGCUCGUCCCUGAGCAAAGAUAAACUCAAGAGUUUCUGCAAUGGUUUCAUACCUUAAAGAUACACAUGCAUUCAAACAAGAUCUCAUUUCUGGGUUAGGGUAAACUGUUAAGAUUUAAACUUACUCAUUUUACCUUUCACCAUGGGACUUGUAACUGUCACUUCUAUCUUGAGUAGUUAAAAGAUAGAACGGUCUAGUCAAGUGCAAUGUCUCUUAUUCUUGAUCAGCUAUAGCUCUGGAGUUUUUGCAGAUUUUCAAAUAAAACUUAGAGAUUCCUUGUAUGACUCUCUCUAGUCUCUCUUUUGUGGUAUUUCUGGAUCCUUACCAAGGUAGUAAUGGUGUAUGCCUUCUCUCAAAGUAUGUGGUAUUUUUAGUAUGAGGCAUAGUGCCAUUACCUUCUCUCUCACCCUACUCUAAUAAGGUUUUGAUAUCUGGAGCUCAUAGGUGGGAGACAGCUAAUACAUACUUACGAGACAUUUAUUGCAUAGUCAAACCAUGGAUCCAGAAGAACAAGUCAAUAAGUCAAAUCAAGGUGUGCAUGUGUGGCGAAUGAAUGGUGUAUGGUGAUGAUGGUGAUAACAAUGGUGAAAGUCUAAUUCUACUUGUGCUCUUUUGAGGGGAUACAUACCUUUCUUGCUCUUUUGAAACUUUUUGAGGAGAAUGAGAUGCUCUAUAUUUUCUUUUUCUUUUCUCUCAGGUGGGUAUCUUGUACCCCUAAUUCUACUGUCGGACACUUGUCCAUUUUUACCUCUCGUCUCACUUUUUCUUUCUUUCGAGGUUCCGGGCACUUGCCCCUUUUUAUUUCCUCGUUUAUAUAUAUAUUUUUUCUUCUCUUUUCUUUUUUUUCAGAGCACUCAUCUCUUGAGAUAAUAUAGCAAGUGGUAGUAACCAAAAUAUUUGGAGCAUUUAUUUCACAGGGAAUAACAGGGAUAGGAAAAUGUUUUUGACUAUUCUCUCCCGGAUUAGGAGUAUAAUAUUUUUGGGUGAUUCUGGAGAUGGAAAUGGAUGGAUAUAUGUGGAUGGUACUUCCGGAGUAGAAGUAGCAUAUAUGAGUGAACGUGCAAGUGAAUCUUGAUUGAACCACAUGACAAGCUCCUAAGGGUCUACACAGCUUGACCACACUCAAUGCUCAUAAGCAGUAAAAAGUAAAUGUGUGGCUCGAAGUCUAGCAAGCAUGUAUAUAUGGCUGUGGUAGGAAUUUAAACUCUCAUCAUACAGGAACUCAUCAUGCAACAUUUUAAAGAUUUCCAAAGAUAAAAUUCUCCAGAAUUCUAGCAUCUCUAGAAACAGAUAAACAGCAGCUCAACCUUCCCAUAUCGUAUCCGUUAACAACUUAGACUUCAGAUCAAGUUUUCAUCACACAAGUUUAGAUCUAGAGCAAGCUUUAAAUUAUAGCAGUUAUGUCUAAACUUGAGAGGGAACUUCAAAAUUGCAAAUUAGGCAGAACAACUAUUCAUCAUUUCCAUGCUUGAGUUUUAUUUUUAAGAUUCAGAUUAGCAUAGCCACUUUAUUUAUUUAUUAAACAUACUAAGCAAAAGAUAUAUAUAUAAGCACAAAAUCUUUAUUUAGUUUUUCAUAGUUUAUGUAUUUUAAUAUUCUAACAUAAUAUAAGUAUAAAGAUAGGUAGAAAUACUUAGCGAGAAUAAUGUGGGUGCUUUCCCCCAAGUUGAAUUUUGACGUAAUUUCUCUUGAUGUAGCUAGCAGGUGGCAGAGGUGUAUUUGAAAGUCAGCAGCAAUCUGACAGCGAUUAGAAUGUCCUCCGUCUGCUAGUCUUCUUGAUUCUUAAAUUCUGUGGAUCUCAAAUAGACAACAAAGCUUGUGGAACUAAUUAAGUGUUAGCAUAAAUAUCUAGCCUUCAUUAUUUGAGCUUCCUUAAUGAAUGUUAUUUAUUUAGCAGGAUCAUAUACUUAUUAUUAUAUAUAUUUAUUUUUAUAUAUAUAUUUUUAUUGUAAGAUGAAAACUUAUUUAUUUUAUUUUUAUGCCACCACAGUGAAUGUACUUAUGGGUUUUAUGCCAUGAGCAUACUCACAUGGGGCUUACUAUUUUUUAACAUUUUUAUUUUCUUUUCAAGAUAGCAUGAACCUGAUUAACUGAGCAAAUUAUAAUUGAAUAAGUGAAAGGAAAGGGUAACUACCAAGUUUACCUCUUGGCAAGGCGUUCGGUAUUUUUAUGUCCUCCGAACGGGACUCUCUGUUUUCUCAGUCGUCCUGGGAUUCGCUAGGUGGCGUAGUCGGUGAUUCCGGCGGCGCCUCUCUUCGUGUAUAACUAUCUUCUCCCUCCACACCUGACUCGGUGCUACGGUCUCCUCAGGACAGUUCUGUUCAAGCUGUAUGUCUUCAGUCCUUAUCACUUUUCCUUCGUAGUCUACCCAUCCGUUCUUGAUGAUUUGCCUCCUCUUGGUUGCGGUUGCGUCGUCUUCUUGUCCUAACCUGCUUAGAGUCUUCAACUAUAUAGUUAUGGUCAGUAAAAUAGCUGCGUACCUUCUCAGAGGGGAAGUACAUGUGGACUUCUCCGGUUCCAAUGUAGAUGAUUGCUUUGAUAGUGUUGAGGAACGGUCUUCCAAGGAUGGUGGGUGGAUCAUAUUCGUCUUCUCCCAUGUCAAUGACCUGAAAAUCAUCUGGAACUGAAUAUAUUGGUUGUAGAGGCAUGGUUCCAUGCAGGAGCUGAUAAGUGACUGCGGCCAUUAUGUUGUCGUCAGAUCCGGUGUCGUAGAGUGUCUUCUGAAAAGAGUAUCCAUUGAUUGCGCACUCGAUGCUUGGAACACCAGGGUCGUCCUUCU
rnacentral:lncRNA from 1 species